UUGGUGAGGUAAUGGCUCACCAAGGCGACGACGGGUAGCCGGCCUGAGAGGGCGACCGGCCACACUGGGACUGAGACACGGCCCAGACUCCUACGGGAGGCAGCAGUGGGGAAUAUUGCACAAUGGGCGAAAGCCUGAUGCAGCGACGCCGCGUGAGGGAUGACGGCCUUCGGGUUGUAAACCUCUUUCAGCAGGGAAGAAGCGAAAGUGACGGUACCUGCAGAAGAAGCGCCGGCUAACUACGUGCCAGCAGCCGCGGUAAUACGUAGGGCGCAAGCGUUGUCCGGAAUUAUUGGGCGUAAAGAGCUCGUAGGCGGCUUGUCACGUCGGGUGUGAAAGCCCGGGGCUUAACCCCGGGUCUGCAUUCGAUACGGGCUAGCUAGAGUGUGGUAGGGGAGAUCGGAAUUCCUGGUGUAGCGGUGAAAUGCGCAGAUAUCAGGAGGAACACCGGUGGCGAAGGCGGAUCUCUGGGCCAUUACUGACGCUGAGGAGCGAAAGCGUGGGGAGCGAACAGGAUUAGAUACCCUGGUAGUCCACGCCGUAAACGGUGGGAACUAGGUGUUGGCGACAUUCCACGUCGUCGGUGCCGC
rnacentral:rRNA from 1 species